UACGUAGGGUGCGAGCGUUGUCCGGAAUUAUUGGGCGUAAAGGGCUCGUAGGCGGUUUGUCGCGUCGGGAGUGAAAACACUGGGCUUAACCCAGUGCUUGCUUUCGAUACGGGCAGACUAGAGGUAUGCAGGGGAGAACGGAAUUCCUGGUGUAGCGGUGAAAUGCGCAGAUAUCAGGAGGAACACCGGUGGCGAAGGCGGUUCUCUGGGCAUGAUCUGACGCUGAGGAGCGAAAGCGUGGGGAGCGAACAGG
rnacentral:rRNA from 1 species